UAAGGAAUAUUGGUCAAUGGACGCAACUCUGAACCAGCCAUGCCGCGUGAAGGAUGAAGGUCCUCUGGAUUGUAAACUUCUUUUAUAUGGGAAGAAACCACUUUUAUCUAAUGGUGUUGACGGUACCAUAGGAAUAAGCACCGGCUAACUCCGUG
rnacentral:rRNA from 1 species